UACGUAGGGCGCAAGCGUUGUCCGGAAUUAUUGGGCGUAAAGAGCUCGUAGGUGGCGUGUCGCGUCUGCCGUGAAAGCCCAUGGCUUAACUGUGGGUCUGCGGUGGAUACGGGCAGGCUGGAGGCUGGUAGGGGCAAGCGGAAUUCCUGGUGUAGCGGUGAAAUGCGCAGAUAUCAGGAGGAACACCGGUGGCGAAGGCGGCUUGCUGGGCCAGUUCUGACGCUGAGGAGCGAAAGCGUGGGGAGCGAACAGGAUU
rnacentral:rRNA from 1 species